UCUGCUUUACGUACAUGCAUGCAGGAUCAAUCAAACAACACGCAAAGAUGCUCAGAUUUUUCAUCUUUUUCUUCCUUUUCAUUCAUUCUUGUGUUGCGGCUCCCAAGAUUCCUGCUGCUGUUCCUGCCACGAAAUGGCUCACCCUUAAUGGUAUGUUAUCCUUUUAUUGUUUCUUGGUGGCGAAAUCUAUUAAACUGCUAAUAUUACAUAACAUGUUGUUUUGUUUUUUGAAAAAUAUACCUCUUUUUUUUCUGUCUUUUAGGACAAGAGCCUGCGGUUGUGGCGAGAGGCGGCUUCUCCGGUCUUUUCCCUGAGUCAAGCGCAUCUGCAAAUGACUUGGCUAUUAGCACCAGCUCUCCU
rnacentral:lncRNA from 1 species